rnacentral:rRNA from 1 species
GUCUACGGCCAUGCCACCCUGAACAAGCCCGAUCCCAUCUGAUGUCGGAAGCUAAGUGGGGUCGGGCCUGGUUAGUACUUGGAUGGGAGACCACCUAGGAGGACCAGGUGCUGUAGGCG